GGCCCCUGAUCGGGGUUGCGGACAGUGUCUGGUGGGUAGUUUGACUGGGGCGGUCUCCUCCUAAAGAGUAACGGAGGAGCACGAAGGUUGGCUAAUCCUGGUCGGACAUCAGGAGGUUAGUGCAAUGGCAUAAGCCAGCUUGACUGCGAGCGUGACGGCGCGAGCAGGUGCGAAAGCAGGUCAUAGUGAUCCGGUGGUUCUGAAUGGAAGGGCCAUCGCUCAACGGAUAAAAGGUACUCCGGGGAUAACAGGCUGAUACCGCCCAAGAGUUCAUAUCGACGGCGGUGUUUGGCACCUCGAUGUCGGCUCAUCACAUCCUGGGGCUGAAGUAGGUCCCAAGGGUAUGGCUGUUCGCCAUUUAAAGUGGUACGCGAGCUGGGUUUAGAACGUCGUGAGACAGUUCGGUCCCUAUCUGCCGUGGGCGCUGGAGAACUGAGGGGGGCUGCUCCUAGUACGAGAGGACCGGAGUGGACGCAUCACUGGUGUUCGGGUUGUCAUGCCAAUGGCACUGCCCGGUAGCUAAAUGCGGAAGAGAUAAGUGCUGAAAGCAUCUAAGCACGAAACUUGCCCCGAGAUGAGUUCUCCCUGACUCCCUGAGAGUCCUGAAGGAACGUUGAAGACGACGACGUUGAUAGGCCGGGUGUGUAAGCGCAGCGAUGCGUUGAGCUAACCGGUACUAAUGAACCGUGAGG
rnacentral:rRNA from 1 species